rnacentral:tRNA from 1 species
AAUAAGGUGCCUGACUAAAGGGUUAUUUUGAUAGAAUAAAUCAAGUAAAGAAUAGUUUUACCCUUAUUA